AAAAAUAUGGAGUUCCGGUUUAGACCAUGGGCGUGCGACGACCCCGAUGAAAUUCGGGAUAUCACGGUCUUCGUUAAUGUUAAUAAGCGUCCGUCAGAUCAGUAGGCGAAACGCAAUAUCCGCACAAUAAGAUGUCUGCGAUCCGAAAGAAUAUUCAAAGUAAGCUGUUAAUUUUGUUGCGUCAGAAGCUAAUCAGCCGGUAACGUGACUACACUGAUAUAAUUUGUGAUACAAACAUACUUUAUUCAAUACUGAAUAGCAUUUUUAAACGGCGACAUUUUGAACAUUUUUAUAUUUAGAGUGAGAGGGAUACACGUUACACUGUUACACUGGCGCCGACAUUUUGAAAAUUUGAGGAAACAAAAACAUUCUCCAACGAGUUCUUCAGCUCGGGGAAUGAGAGAAUAGAUUCACCUUUGUGUCGCUUUUCAGAUCGUAUUUUAAUUCCUUUCCGGUACUUUAGUUUCUUUGAACUUCUCUGUUACUAAGCCUACUGUAUAUUGAAUUUUUAAAAUUAAGAAAUCUGUGAUUUUACUUGCAGGCAUGACUGAUUAAUGGAAUUAUUUUACUUUUAUAUAGAAUAUGGAUGGCACUCCAGUACAACAUGUGCAUGGUUGGACCUGUUGACAUUUUUUAGAAAUGCAUCUUGGUCUAUUAUACAGAGUAUUGUUGUACUGCUCCAAAGUGCGUGUUGACAGACUGAAACCACUUGCUUGCGGCUGGUAAGGUAUUUCUAUCUUUCUGUUUCUUUAUUAUGUAGUUGCAGCUGUGGGAAGCAGUUUCAGUCAUUCAGAAAGCA